CGGGUAGUUGGUGGAUGCCUUGGCGCUAGGAGCCGAUGAAGGACGUGAUGGUCUGCGAAAAGCCUCGGGGAGUCGACGAAUAGGCGUUGAUCCGGGGAUGUCCGAAUUGGGAAACCAGACUGGGGUCAUGCCCAGUCAUUCCGGUCUGAAUAUAUAGGGCCGGUAAAGGAAACCGAGGGAAUUGAAACAUCUCAGUACCUCGAGGAAUAGAAAACAACAGUGAUUCCCUGAGUAGCGGCGAGCGAAACGGGAAGAGCCCAAACCAGUGCGGUGUCAAAGGUCGACGCCGUUGCCGUGCUGGGGUUGUGGGACUCACUUGACGGAACGUCGAUACCGUCACAGAGUUACAAAACCGUCAGAUAACCGAAUUCCACUGGGAAGUGGAGCCACAGGAGGUAACAGCCCCGUAGGUUAAAUCUAGGCGGACUCUGAGUGAUGUUCCCAAGUAGCACGGGGCACGUGAAAUCCCGUGUGAAUCUGCCAGGACCACCUGGUAAGGCUAAAUACUACCUAGCGACCGAUAGCGGAUAGUACCGUGAGGGAACGGUGAAAAGUACCCCGGUGAGGGGAGUGAAACAGUACCUGAAACCAACUACUUACAAGCAGUAGGAGGGAUUCUUCGGAAUCCUGACUGCCUGCCUUUUGAAGAAUGAGCCUACGAGUUAUCGAUGUGUGGCAAGGUUAAGCCGAGAGGUGUAGCCGCAGCGAAAGCAAGUCUUAAUAGGGCGUCUAGUCGCAUGUCAUAGACCCGAAGCCGAGUGAUCUAUCCAUGGACAGGGUGAAGCGAGGGUAAGACCUCGUGGAGGCCCGAACCCACCUAGGUUGAAAACUGGGGGGAUGAUCUGUGGAUAGGGGUGAAAGGCCAAUCAAACUCGGCGAUAGCUGGUUCUCCUCGAAAUAGCUUUAGGGCUAGCGUUGUAUGUUCCGUAUUGGGGGUAGAGCACUGAUUGGGUAAGGGGGCCAACAAGCUUACCAACCCCAGUCAAACUCCGAAUCCCAAUACGCCAAGUACAGCAGUCAGACCAUGUGGGAUAAGCUUCAUGGUCGAAAGGGAAACAGCCCAGACCGCCAGUUAAGGUCCCAAAAUUAUGACUAAGUGGGGAACGAUGUAGGGUUGCCCAAACAGCCAGGAGGUUGGCUUAGAAGCAGCCAUCCUUUAAAGAGUGCGUAACAGCUCACUGGUCGAGUGAUCCCGCGCGGAUGAUGUAACGGGGCUCAAGUCAUAUACCGAAACUGCGGAUUCACGUCUAUAACGCAGGCCACUAUGGUUUCCAUAGGGGUCCAGCGGGCGUGAGUGGUAGAGGAGCGUCGAAUGUCCAAUGAAGCGGCGGCGUAAGCCAGUCGUGGAGGGCAUUCGAGUGAGAAUGUAGGCAUGAGUAGCGAAUGAAGAGUGAGAAUCUCUUCCGCCGAAUGUUCAAGGGUUCCUGGGGAAGGCUCGUCCGCCCAGGGUUAGUCUGGACCUAAGGUGAGGCCGAAAGGCGUAAUCGAUGGAUAACAGGUUGAUAUUCCUGUACUGCUCAAGAAUCGUUCAGACCGAACCUUGCUUGCUAAGGAAAGCCCUUCGGGGCCUACCGACCCAGCAGGUAUUAGGUCAGCAAUGGAGUGACACGGAAGGGUAAGUGGACCCGGGCGAUGGUAGACCCGGGGUAAGUGUGUAGAUCGAGAUCUAGGCAAAUCCGGAUCUCAUCAAGAUCGAGGCACGAUGCCGAGCCGCUACAGGCGAAGCCACCAACCCCAUGCCGUCAAGAAAAGCUUCUAGCGAGAUUCUUGGGCACCAGUACCCCAAACCAACACAGGUGAACAAGUAGAGAAUACUAAGGCGAGCGAGAAAACUCUGGUUAAGGAAUUCGGCAAAAUGGCUCCGUAACUUCGGGAGAAGGAGCGCCCCGGUAAGGUGUAGGACUUCGCGUCCGAAGCCUGAGGGGGUUGCAGAGACCAGGCCCAAGCGACUGUUUACUAAAAACACAGGAGGGUGCUAAGUCGUAAGACGACGUAUACCCUCUGACGCCUGCCCGGUGCUGGAAGGUCAAGUGGAUCGGUUAGCUCUUCGGAGCGAAGCUGUGAAAUCAAGCCCCAGUAAACGGCGGCGGUAACUAUAACCGUUGAUCAGUAUCCAAAAAGGCGGUUACAAAACUUGGCUAUAUGCUGGAACAUCCGAGUAUCCAACGGUACUAAUCCGUAAUUGCAGACGUGUAUACGUCUAUGAGAAUGGGAAGUGAAAAUCCGUUUGGUGCGGACAAUCAGCAGGAAACCAAAGCGAGGAGACAAUCACUCCAUGCAUCCGACGACACUCACGUUGUUGGAACUGCAUAAGUGGAGUGUGUGUAGCCUCGACAGGACGCUUCAGCGUUCUGCAGAAUCGAUUCGAUUCUGUGCAGGGAUCCUCAGAGACUAUACGCCAAGCCCCUCAGUGAGAAAAGAGGGUGAUGAUAUAGUCCGAUCCUCAUGGCGACAUGGGGAGUCAGGCAGAAAUGACCUGGCCACGUUCUAUGCGGUCCGUCCACGCACCGACAUAUAGAACGAAGUAACAACAAUGCCUAAGGUAGCGAAAUUCCUUGUCGGGUAAGUUCCGACCUGCACGAAUGGCGUAACGACUCGGGCACUGUCUCAACCAGAGACUCGGCGAAAUUGCAAUGUGAGUAAAGAUGCUCACUUCCCGCAACAGGACGGAAAGACCCCGGGACCUUUACUGCAGCUUGACAUUGAAGCAUUUUAUGUGAUGUGUAGGAUAGGUGGGAGUCUGUGAAGCAGCCGCGCUAGCGGUUGUGGAGACACACUUGAAAUACCACCCUUCCCAUGACAUGCUUCUAACCUCGGUCCAUUAUCUGGAUCAGGAACAGUGUCUGGUGGGCAGUUUCACUGGGGUGGUGGCCUCCUAAAAUGUAACGGAGGCGCCCAAAGGUUCCCUCAGCCAGGUCGGCAAUCUGGCGUUGAGUGCAAAAGCACAAGGGAGCUUGACUGCGAGACCUACAAGUCGAGCAGGUACGAAAGUAGGGUUUAGUGAUCCCUCGGCGGCACGUGGGUGCGCCGAGGCCAACGGCUAAAAGGUACCCCGGGGAUAACAGGCUCAUACCGCCCAAGAGUCCAUAUCGACGGCGGUGUUUGGCACCUCGAUGUCGGCUCGUCUCAUCCUGGGGCUGAAGCAGGUCCCAAGGGUCGGGCUGUUCGCCCGUUAAAGAGGCACGCGAGCUGGGUUUAGAACGUCGUGAGACAGUUCGGUCCCUAUCCGUUGUGGGCGCAGGAGAUUUGAGGAGAGUUGUCCCUAGUACGAGAGGACCGGGAUGAACGUACCUCUGGUGUGCCAGUUGUCCUGCCAAGGGCACGGCUGGUUUGCUACGUACGGAACGGAUAAGCGCUGAAAGCAUCUAAGCGCGAAGCCGGCUCCAAGAUGAGAUCUCCCACUGUAUUAACAGGUAAGACCCCUUGU
rnacentral:rRNA from 1 species